AUUGAACGCUGGCGGCAGGCCUAACACAUGCAAGUCGGGCGCGCGGCGGACGGGUGAGUUAUGUAGGGAGAUCUGCCUUAUGGGGGGGUAAAACUACUGGAAACGGUAGAUAAUACCGCAUACCCUGAGGUACACCCAUCGGGGAUUAUCUUGUGGGGGAGGUAACGGCUCACCUAGGCGACGAUCCCUAGCUGGUCAGAGAGGAUGCUCGGCCACACUGGGACUGAGACACGGCCCAGACUCCUACGGGAGGCAGCAGUGGGGAAUAUUGCACAAUGGGCGCAAGCCUGAUGCAGCCAUGCCGCGUGUAUGAAGAAGGCCUUCGGGUUGUAAAGUACUUUCAGUCGGGAGGCGUUACCGACAGAAGAAGCACCGGCUAACUCCGUGCCAGCAGCCGCGGUAAUUC
rnacentral:rRNA from 1 species